rnacentral:rRNA from 1 species
GUGUCAGCAGCCGCGGUAAUACGUAGGUGGCAAGCGUUGUCCGGAAUUAUUGGGCGUAAAGCGCGCGCAGGUGGUUCCUUAAGUCUGAUGUGAAAGCCCACGGCUCAACCGUGGAGGGUCAUUGGAAACUGGGGAACUUGAGUGCAGAAGAGGAAAGUGGAAUUCCAAGUGUAGCGGUGAAAUGCGUAGAGAUUUGGAGGAACACCAGUGGCGAAGGCGACUUUCUGGUCUGUAACUGACACUGAGGCGCGAAAGCGUGGGGAGCAAACAGGAUUAGAUACCCUGGUAGUCC